rnacentral:rRNA from 1 species
UACGGAGGGUGCAAGCGUUAUCCGGAUUCACUGGGUUUAAAGGGUGCGUAGGAGGGCAGGUAAGUCAGUGGUGAAAUCUCCAAGCUUAACUUGGAAACUGCCGUUGAUACUAUCUGUCUUGAAUACCGUGGAGGUGAGCGGAAUAUGUCAUGUAGCGGUGAAAUGCUUAGAUAUGACAUAGAACACCAAUUGCGAAGGCAGCUGGCUACACGAAUAUUGACACUGAUGCACGAAAGCGUGGGGAUCAAACAGG